rnacentral:tRNA from 1 species
GGGCGUUUAACUCAGUGGAAGAGUGUCACCUUCACACGGUGGAAGCCGCAGGUUCAAAUCCUGCAACGCCCACAA